rnacentral:lncRNA from 1 species
GCACUCUAAGUGAGGGAGGGGUCCUGGGACCUUCCUUAUUCCUUCCCCUUAAACCCGAGUGUUCUUGAAUUUAGGCUUUUGGGGGGGCAUACCUUUUAAGUUGAAUCCAGCAGGAAGGUUCCUUAGCUCUGUCUUGUUGUUAGUUUGAUUUUCAGUCCCCUAGUAGCAUUUAGUUUGUAAUUGGUAAGGAAGGUUUUUCAGAGGUCUGAACUUUUACUGCCUCUAAGCUGCCAUAUUGAUUCUUCCCCCUCUAGAAUCAAAGGUCCUGAAUUUCUGGGGCUAGAGAGAGAGGACUCCAAGAAGAGAGUCACUCCAAGAAGGAAGUUGGCUUCAAGUGGAAGGUGGGCUCAAAGAAGAAAGUUGGCCUCAGGAGCCUCCUUCAGCUCUAGUCAUUAUCUUGACCUGUCUCUUGGAGAGAAUUUGUGUGUGCCUCAUCAUCUGGGAAACCUGAUGAAAUAUAAUCAGUCUACAAUCAUUAAGCUUGUGUCAGACACUGUAGUAAAAUCUGAGGAUGUGAAGAAAAGCAAAUAUGGAGUUCCUGCUUUCAGUAAACUCAUAUUCCAACUGCAAAUUUUAAAGAUGAGGCAGCCGAAGCAAGGAGGUGUAAAUGACUGGCUUAGGGUCACCGAACUGCUAUAUGAGUGCCUUAUGGAGACACAAUCAAAAUGAAGAAGAAAAGUGACACAAUUUGAGGGAUAAUUCAAAGUCCAGGGAUUACCGAGGUGAUCUACUUCUUAGAAAUGAUUAAGAAGACCUAAGUUUCAUUUCCUGGAAAGGUGAAUUUUUCCCAUUAAAGAUGUAAUUAUUCAAUCAAGAUAUUUUGACUUUUCCAUGUAGACUAAUUGUAGAAUAAACACAUUGUACUUACAUGCCA